rnacentral:tRNA from 1 species
GGCCUGCUAGCUCAGUCGGUUAGAGCGUCAUGCUAAUAACGCGAAGGUCGUAGGUUGGAUCCCUGCGCAGGCCA